UACGAAGGGGGCUAGCGUUGCUCGGAAUUACUGGGCGUAAAGGGCGCGUAGGCGGACAGUUUAGUCAGAGGUGAAAGCCCAGGGCUCAACCUUGGAAUAGCCUUUGAUACUGGCUGUCUUGAGUUCGGGAGAGGUGAGUGGAAUGCCGAGUGUAGAGGUGAAAUUCGUAGAUAUUCGGCGGAACACCAGUGGCGAAGGCGACUCACUGGACAUGUAUUGACGCUGAGGCGCGAGAGCGUGGGGAGCAAACAGG
rnacentral:rRNA from 1 species